UCGCCAGGCUCUGAGCGAAGAUCCUCGCUGC
rnacentral:piRNA from 1 species